rnacentral:misc_RNA from 1 species
AAGUCGUAACAAGGUUUCCGUAGGUGAACCUGCGGAAGGAUCAUUAUCAACGUUAUCCACGUAUAAACCAAUAUCGUGAACUGUCACUUUUUCUUUAUUAACUACCUCGAAAAUCCUUUGUGAUUUGACAGAGUUAAUUCUAAUGAUUAUCGGAACUGAUUAUAUGGAAAACAACCGUUCUUCUUUUGGGAAGGGCCUGUUUUCUUUCAUUUUACGAAAUUAUUCGAACAACUCUUAGCAACGGAUAUCUUGGUUCUC